UACGUAGGGCGCAAGCGUUGUCCGGAAUUAUUGGGCGUAAAGAGCUCGUAGGUGGCUGGUCGCGUCUGCUGUGAAAAUCCGGGGCUCAACCCCGGACUUGCAGUGGGUACGGGCAGACUAGAGUGUGGUAGGGGAGACUGGAAUUCCUGGUGUAGCGGUGAAAUGCGCAGAUAUCAGGAGGAACACCGGUGGCGAAGGCGGGAUCCUGGGCCGGAACUGACGCUGAGGAGCGAAAGCGUGGGUAGCAAACAGG
rnacentral:rRNA from 1 species